rnacentral:rRNA from 1 species
AUUGAACGCUGGCGGAAUGCUUUACACAUGCAAGUCGAACGGCAGCACGGACUUCGGUCUGGUGGCGAGUGGCGAACGGGUGAGUAACAUAUCGGAACGUAUCCAAUAAUGGGGGAUAACGAGUCGAAAGAUUCGCUAAUACCGCAUACGCCCUACGGGGGAAAGCUGGGGACAUUCGGGCCUGGCGUUAAUGGAGCUGCCGACAUCAGAUUAGGUAGUUGGUGGGGUACAGGCCCACCAAGCCAACGAUCUGUAGCUGGUUUGAGAGGACGACCAGCCACACUGGAACUGGGACACGGUCCAGACUCCUACGGGAGGCAGCAGUGGGGAAUUUUGGACAAUGGGCGAAAGCCUGAUCCAGCCAUUCCGCGUGCAGGAUGAAGGCCCUCGGGUUGUAAACUGCUUUUGUACAGAACGAAAAGGUUUCUACUAAUACUAGGAGCUCAUGACGGUACUGUAAGAAUAAGCACCGGCUAACUACGUGCCAGCCGCCGCGGUAA